CCUACGGGAGGCAGCAGUGAGGAAUAUUGGUCAAUGGGCGCGAGCCUGAACCAGCCAAGUAGCGUGAAGGAAGACUGCCCUACGGGUUGUAAACUUCUUUUAUAAAGGAAUAAAGUGCGGCACGUGUGCCUUUUUGCAUGUACUUUAUGAAUAAGGAUCGGCUAACUCCGUGCCAGCAGCCGCGGUAAUCCGGAGGAUCCGAGCGUUAUCCGGAUUUAUUGGGUGUAACGGGUGCGUAGGUGGGAUGUUAAGUCAGUUGUGAAAGUUUGCGGCUCAACCGUAAAAUUGCAAUUGAUACUGGCAGCCUUGAGUGCAGUUGAGGUAGGCGGAAUUCGUGGUGUAGCGGUGAAAUGCUUAGAUAUCACGAAGAACUCCGAUUGCGAAGGCAGCUUACUAAACUGCAACUGACAUUGAUGCUCGAAAGUGUGGGUAUCAAACAGGAUUAGAUACCCUGGUAGUC
rnacentral:rRNA from 1 species